rnacentral:rRNA from 1 species
AGCGAACGCUGGCGGCAGGCUUAACACAUGCAAGUCGAGCGGGCACCUUCGGGUGUCAGCGGCAGACGGGUGAGUAACACGUGGGAACGUACCCUUUGGUUCGGAACAACUCCGGGAAACUGGAGCUAAUACCGGAUAAGCCCUUCGGGGUAAGGAUUAUCGCCAAAGGAUCGGCCCGCGUCUGAUUAGCUAGUUGGUGAGGUAAUGGCUCACCAAGGCGACGAUCAGUAGCUGGUCUGAGAGGAUGAUCAGCCACACUGGGAC